rnacentral:rRNA from 1 species
UACGUAGGGGGCUAGCGUUGUCCGGAAUCAUUGGGCGUAAAGAGCGUGUAGGCGGCCAGGUAGGUCUGCUGUGAAAACUCGAGGCUCAACCUCGAGACGUCGGCGGAAACCAUCUGGCUAGAGUCCGGAAGAGGAGAGUGGAAUUCCUGGUGUAGCGGUGAAAUGCGCAGAUAUCAGGAAGAACACCGGUGGCGAAGGCGGCAUCCUGGACCGAAACUGACGCUGAGGAGCGAAAGCCAGGGGAGCAAACGGG